rnacentral:rRNA from 1 species
AGCUUCAAUAGCGUAUAUUAAAGUUGUUGCAGUUAAAAAGCUCGUAGUUGGAUUUCUGGCUGGGCAUGCGGGUCCGCUCUUACGAGUGUGCACCAUACAUGUCCGGCCAUCCUUUGGGAGAACCACAGUGGCAUUAAGUUGUUGGUGUGGGGAUCCCAAUCCUUUACUGUGAAGAAAUUAGAAUGUUCAAAGCAGGCUUACGCCGUUGAAUACAUAAGCAUGGAAUAAUAUCAUAGGACUAUUGUACUAUUUUGUUGGUUUGCGCACAAAAGUAAUGAUUAACAGGGACAGUUGGGGGUAUUUGUAUUCCAUUGUCAGAGGUGAAAUUCUUGGAUUUUUGAAGACAAACUACUGCGAAAGCAUUUACCAAAGAUGUUUUCA